rnacentral:rRNA from 1 species
UACGAAGGGGGCUAGCGUUGCUCGGAAUGACUGGGCGUAAAGGGCUCGUAGGCGGCCAACUAAGUCGGAUGUGAAAUCCCCAGGCUUAACCUGGGAACUGCAUCCGAUACUGGAUGGCUUGAAUCCGGGAGAGGGAUGCGGAAUUCCAGGUGGUAGCGGUGAAAUGCGUAGAUAAUCUGGAGGAACACCGGUGGCGAAGGCGGCAUCCUGGACCGGCAUGACGCUGAGGAGCGAAAGCCAGGGGAGCGAAACAGG